GUGGGGAAUAUUGGACAAUGGGCGCAAGCCUGAUCCAGCAAUGCCGCGUGGGUGAAGAAGGUCUUCGGAUCGUAAAGCCCUUUCGACAGGGACGAUGAUGACGGUACCUGUAGAAGAAGCCCCGGCUAACUUCGUGCCAGCAGCCGCGGUAAUACGAAGGGGGCUAGCGUUACUCGGAAUUACUGGGCGUAAAGGGCGCGUAGGCGGCUCUGUUAGUCAGGCGUGAAAUUCCUGGGCUUAACCUGGGGACUGCGCUUGAUACUGCAGGGCUUGAGGCCGAGAGAGGGUGGUGGAAUUCCCAGUGUAGAGGUGAAAUUCGUAGAUAUUGGGAAGAACACCGGUGGCGAAGGCGACCACCUGGCUCGGUUCUGACGCUGAGGCGUGACAGCGUGGGGAGCAAACAGGAUUAGAUACCCGUGUAGUCC
rnacentral:rRNA from 1 species